UGGGGAAUUUUGGACAAUGGGGGAAACCCUGAUCCAGCCAUCCCGCGUGUGCGAUGAAGGCCUUCGGGUUGUAAAGCACUUUUGGCAGGAAAGAAACGUCAUGGGUUAAUACCCCGUGAAACUGACGGUACCUGCAGAAUAAGCACCGGCUAACUACGUGCCAGCAGCCGCGGUAAUACGUAGGGUGCAAGCGUUAAUCGGAAUUACUGGGCGUAAAGCGUGCGCAGGCGGUUCGGAAAGAAAGAUGUGAAAUCCCAGAGCUCAACUUUGGAACUGCAUUUUUAACUACCGGGCUAGAGUGUGUCAGAGGGAGGUGGAAUUCCGCGUGUAGCAGUGAAAUGCGUAGAUAUGCGGAGGAACACCGAUGGCGAAGGCAGCCUCCUGGGAUAACACUGACGCUCAUGCCCGAAAGCGUGGGGAGCAAACAGG
rnacentral:rRNA from 1 species